rnacentral:rRNA from 1 species
CUGGUGAGUAACGCGUGGGUGACCUACCUUGAGGAUGGGGAUAGCUGUUAGAAAUAGCAGGUAAUACCGAAUACGUUCACAAUAUUAUGAUUAUGUGAAGAAAGGAGCUACGGCUCCGCCUUGAGAUGGGCCCGCGUCCCAUUAGCUAGUUGGUGAGGUAAAGGCCCACCAAGGCGAAGAUGGGUAGCCGGCCUGAGAGGGUGAACGGCCACACUGGGACUGAGAUACGGCCCAGACUCCUACGGGAGGCAGCAGCUAAGAAUAUUCCACAAUGGACGAAAGUCUGAUGGAGCGACGCCGCGUGGAUGACGAAGGCCGAAAGGUUGUAAAAUCCUUUUGCGGAUGAAGAAUAAGCGGUGGAGGGAAUGCCAUCGUGAUGACGUUAGUCCGCGAAUAAGCCCCGGCUAAUUACGUGCCAGCAGCCGCGGUAACACGUAAGGGGCAAGCGUUGUUCGGAAUUAUUGGGCGUAAAGGGCGCGUAGGCGGCCGCGUAAGUCUGAUGUGAAAACCCCGGGCUCAACCCGGGAACUGCAUUGGAAACUGUGCGGCUUGAGUCACGGAGGGGAAAUCGGAAUUCCUGGUGUAGGGGUGAAAUCUGUAGAUAUCAGGAAGAACACCGGUGGCGAAGGCGGAUUUCCAGCCGAUGACUGACGCUGAGGCGCGAAAGUGCGGGGAGCAAACAGGAUUAGAUACCCUGGUAGUCCGCACUAUAAACGAUGCACACUAGGUGUCGGGACGAGCGUCUCGGCGCCGGAGCGAACGCGAUAAGUGUGCCGCCUGGGGAGUAUGCCCGCAAGGGUGAAACUCAAAGGAAUUGACGGAAUCACUAGUGAAUUCG